UUAAGUGCGUGUUAACCCUAGUUACUGUUUCGAUGAUGGUUAGCGCAUUUAAGCCGGAUUAAUUUAGGCGGGGCUGCCACAGAUGGACAGGUGAUGCCUACGAGCAUGGGAGCAACACCAACUUCAACAUCUUGAUACAUCUUUGGAAGGGAACAACUAUGAAAGGGAGCUUGAACUCCACACACUUGAAGUUUUAUCGCCUAGCAAUGCAAACUCCAAGUGUGGGGAAGGUAUGUGAGGACCCCAAGUAAGAUCUCUCUUGCUAAUUCAUAUCUUGGUUUGGGAAUGGUGUUAGUUCUUGUAUCUUGAUCCUUAAAAAAUAUAUAAAAUUAAAAAAAUGAGAGGAGCGGUCAUGGUGACAAUAUUGAGUUCUCAUCAAUAAAACACCAUGGUAAGCACUCUCAAUGUUCUGCUUUUGCCAUUAAACAAAGCCCUACCGGAAGGUCGCCCGAGGAUCGCCAGAGUAAGUCUCAUGGUGAGAGUAAAGUUUAGUUUCAAUAAAUUAUAGGGCUCCCUGGUUCUUAAAACCAGCAGAGCCACUAUUUCGUUUCCACUUGUUGAAUACAGCACCAGGUACAAGCACAAGUGUGGGGGGAGAUCUCUCAAGACCGUCAUUGCCAUACAUAUUCAAGAUCUCCCACAGAUGUAUCGCACAACAUCGUUUGCACCAAGAUGAUAAAGGACAAGGCAAAGACACCAGAGCCAGCCGGCCACCCGGUGGUUUGGCUGGAUCACCAUUGCCUUGAUCACCAUCUUCUUCAACAACGAUUUGAUUCCUGUGCAGUUUGGUGAAGAUGGCAAAUACAGACACAGAUACAACUGCACAGCACAAGGAAUGGGAUGAUGAGUUUCAAAAAAAGGAAUGGGAUGAUGCGCUGUGCCCAAUAUGCAUGGACCAUCCGCAUAAUGCUGUCCUUCUGUUGUGCAGCUCCCAUGAUAAAGGAUGCCGAUCCUACAUAUGUGAUACAAGCUAUAGGCAUUCAAAUUGCCUAGACAGGUUCAAGAAAAUGAAAGUGAAUGAUGGUGAGAGUUCUUCACACCCAAACUCAUCCGUGCCUGGGGGUACAAGAAACCAAAAUGCUGUCCAGAGAUCUCGUUUUGAUCUCACUAGAGAGAGCCCCAGGUUACUCAUAUCUGAACCUAAUGAAGCUUCCAAUCAUCAAGAUGCCAUAGCUGGAGAACAGGAAGAAAAUAACUACAAUGAAGGCCCAGAUAUGACAUUGGAAGUACAGGAGGUGAACAGUGGUCCUUUGGAGUCAAAUGAAGUGUCGAGCUCAAACCAAUUGUUGUGCCCACUGUGCAGGGGUACUGUUAAUGGCUGGAAGAUCAUCAAGGAAGCCAGAAAGUAUUUGGAUGAGAAAUCGAGAGCUUGCUCACGGGAAGCCUGCACAUUUUCUGGUAAUUACAGGGAGAUCCGUAGACAUGCCAGAAGGGUGCACCCCACAACAAGGCCUGCUGAUGUGGAUCCAUCAAGGCGCCGUUUGUGGCACCACCUGGAGCAUCAGCAGGAGUAUGGUGACAUAGUGAGCGCAAUCCGGUCCGCGAUGCCUGGGGCAGUUGUGCUUGGUGAUUAUGCUAUUGAAGGUGGUGAAAUGUUUUCACAUGACCGGGAAACCAGCGGCCCAAGUGAACCAAGUGGAUCUCUGCUGACAACAUUUUUUCUAUUUCAUUUUCAUAUGCUCAGCAGUAGUCCAAUUAGAUCAGGUGAUGAGCCAAGAGGCGCAUCACGGGGCCUGAGAAGGCAGAGACGACGUUAUCUGUGGGGAGAGAAUUUAUUAGGUCUCCAAUAUGAUGAUGAUGAUGAGCAGGAGGAUGAGGAAGAGAAUAACUUAGAUGAAGAGGUUCAGAGACCGAGGAGUCGCCGGAGGUUCAUCAGAUCAAGAUCGGAGGAGCGAGCGUAAUACAUAUGUAGCUGUGGUAAUUACAUUCUUCACUGCUGUGAAGUUCUUUUACCAAGAACUCAUGAUGACUCCUUGCAUGAUAUUUGCCAUGCCAGUGGAGAUGCAGGUGAUGUGCUUUGUCGUAUUGUUAAAAUGCUGUGCACAUCACUGCAAUCAAAGACCAAAAAGCGAGUGGACCUCAAGUUCAAGUUCAGACUAGUCAAAUGGGUUCGGCACCAUCCAUAAGGCCCUCUUCAUUGUGACACGCUCGGGAGAACAUUUAUUAUUAGGGCAUAGCUGACAGCUCUAUCCAACUAGAUGUGACCUGGAAGUUUGGUGUUUGGAGAUGCUCGUUCCAUCACAGCUGGAGCUGUUGCUGAUGCACCAUGUGUUUAUUUUUCGUGUCACCUGCAUCUGUUCCGGUUGAUAUCCUUGUUCAACUGAAGUGAGUAGAGUCGGAUUUCCUGAAACAAUGGUUCACAUUAUGUGCAAUUGUGCAUACUUGUUACCAAGACCAUUCGCAAACUUGGUGUGCGUCUGUUGUUGUAAUUCAAAUGGUUGCCUCCAUUGGCUUGUCCAUCCAAACCUUACGCAAGUUUGAUGGACGAGGGUAUCCAUCACUGGUCCCUGUGGUUUGUGAACUCUACCGCUGAGCAGGUGCAUAUUUUUAUGCAGAGAGGCUUUUCUCCAAUGAUUGACGGUUGUAUCUGAUAUUUGAGGACCUUAAUUAUAAUGCAUGGUGAAACUGUUUCUGAAACUUA